rnacentral:lncRNA from 1 species
AAAAGAGGGGAAUUAAACUGCCGUGGAGAAAUCAGACAGCAUUUUGGAGUAUAACUGCAAAGCGCUGACCCGUGUGUAUCCCUGCAGUGGGCGAGUUGAUUCCUCUAACUUUGAUCAUUGUCCUUCAUGGAAACUAGGCUGCCAAAAGGUGGCUCUUAACUUCCAAACUGCUGAUAAAUUCCUGCAGUUUGAAUGGGGGCACGGGCUAUGUGCUUAAACCAGAGUGGAUGCGAGAUCCAACCAAGAAACCUGCUAAACAAAUCAGAAUCAGAGUGAUGGCAGCCAGGCAUCUGCCCAAUCCAGAGCACAUCGUCAGUUCUUUUGCGCAGGUUGAGUUGUGGCCGUACCCAGGAGGUCAAGCAGACGACUACAGUUCAGUAAGGAUACAGGAAGAGAGUUAGAGAGAGAGGAGUUAUAAUUUAGGUUAUAGUAGUGCUGAAUGUUGGUUUCUUUACAGAGGACAACGGACUGAAUCCAGUGUGGCUGGGCCCAACGAAUCCACCCAAAUGCUUUAAAAUAGAUGAGCCAGAUCAGGCUUUGUGGUUUUUGAGGAGGACACAUUCUCUGAUGCUAAGUUUCUUGCACAAGCC